UUGUUUUUAAAAAAAGAAAGACGGGACGCCGCAUUCAUGAGAGCAAGUCGCAUGGUGACACGUGGCUAUAUGAGAUAUUUGGCUCCUUCUUGUAUAUGCUGAGUCAGCGCGUGGCUUUCAGUCUCGAACUUCGCGAUUCAUGUCACGUGACCCCCAAGAUACCCGGUCCCGGUUUUUUAUUUUUAUUUUUUAUAAUAAUUCAGUAAAUUUAUUUUA
rnacentral:lncRNA from 1 species